UUAAUACACGUAGGAUAUCGGUAUAAUUAAAAAAAAAAACAAACUCGAGACGGAUAGCACGAUUUGGUUAAUACACGUAGGAUCUCAUAAGAUUUUGUAUGGUUCUCGUAACAGUUCUCUCGAUCCACAACUCGACAAUCAAUUUCUAACCGCUCUGUGGGGGCUGAGCAUGUUGUCGACCCUGAAGCUGCUCUAUACAAAGAGCUCUGGCAUGCUUGUGCUGGUCCUCUCGUGACGGUCCCUCGACAAGAUGACCGGGUCUUCUACUUCCCUCAGGGACAUAUUGAGCAGGUGGAAGCAUCGAAAAAACAAGCUGGCGGAACAGUAGAUGCCUCUCUAUGAUCUUCCUUCGAAGAUCCUUUGUCGAGUCAUUAAUGUUGAUUUAAAGUGGUGCUUAUGCGCAAAUUACUCUUUUUCCGGAACCUAUUCAAGACGAGAAUGCAAUUGAGAAAGAGGCACCUCUUCCUCCGCCCCCCAGGUUCCAAGUGCAUUCCUUCUGCAAAACCUUGACUGCUUCGGACACAAGUACACAUGGUGGAUUUUCUGGAUAUGUCACGUCAGCCUCCUACUCAGGAGUUAGUAGCAAAAAAAUUGCAUGCAAAUGAGUGGCGUUUUAGAUAUAUUUUCCGAGAUAAUGGGAAUUUGUCAACAACGAAGGCAUUUGCUUCAGAGUGGGUGGAGCGUGUUUGUUAGUUCCAAGAGGCUGGUUGCAGGCGAUGCAUUUAUCUCUCUAAGUUUUGUUUGUUUUUGGUUCAUUGUAUUCUUGAUUUGUAUCUAUAUGUUUAGUUGAUCUGUAAUAUCUGGUUCUUCUGCAGGGGUGAGAAUGGGGAAUUACGUGUGGGUGUAAGGCAUGCAAUGCGACAACAGGGAAAUGCGAGAAGCAGGAAGGCACACAGGUUACAAAGAGAACAGUUUCCUCUUCUUUGUUUCUUUACCAGGAGCGUUGAGAUCAUAUAUGACGCAAUAUUACAUAUGGUAGCUCAGAAACAUUUCCAUGAGCUGAUCGAGAUACAAUGGUACCUACAGAUGAUGUUUGAAAAGCAACUAAAGUUACAAGAUACCAGGAGCUCUUCCUCAAUGCCUUAAUCAAAGCAAUGCAAUGGCAUGUUUACCGCAUCAAAAUUUGGUUUCAGGACAAACCGUGAACCAAACUGAAUCUGCUUUUGUAUCAGUGAAACUAAGUCCAUUUAACUUUCUUUUCUUUUUCAAUUCGAGUACAAUUAAGAAAAUAUUUAUCUUGGGAAAAUGAGUACACAUAGAAUACAGCGAAGAACCUAUAUAUUUUA